rnacentral:rRNA from 1 species
UAUGUGAUCGUCUCUCGCAUAUCAAUAAGCGGAGGAAAAGAAACUAACAAGGAUUCCCCUUAGUAACGGCGAGUGAAGCGGGAAGAGCUCCAAAUUUGAAAUCUUAAAGGGUUUCCCUUUACGAAUUGUAGUUUAAAGAAGUGUUUUCUGUUGAGGUUUUGGUAAAAGUUCUUUGGAAUAGGACAUCAUAGAGGGUGAGAAUCCCGUAUUUGACCUUUACUUUCAACUUUGUGAUACACUUUCAAAGAGUCGGAUUGUUUGGGAAUGCAGUCCAAAAUGGGUGGUAAAUUUCAUCUAAAGCUAAAUAUUGGCGAGGAGACCGAUAGCGAACAAGUACCGUGAGGGAAAGAUGAAAAGAACUUUGAAAAGAGAGUUAAACAGUACGUGAAAUUGUCAAAAGGGAAGCGUUUGACACCAGUGUUGUUUUUUCUGAAAAUCAAUUAAAGAACUGUUUAUGCUAAGUUGUUUAGACUUUAUCAGCUAAUCUGCUUAGUUUUGAGCUUUUCUUUAAUGCACUUUUCAGUUAACAAGUCAACAUCAAUUUCUUUUGCUGUAAAAAAGCUUGAGGAAGGUGGCUUGAGAUUCGUCUUAAGUGUUUAUAGCCUCUUGCCUAUGCAGUCGGAAGAGAUUGAGGUCUGCAGCGUAGAUCCUUCGGGGCUAAAUGCAUUUGUGCUAAGUUAUAACAUUUUAUAGACAACUUGUUGACUAUGAUUUGUCUUGUAGCUUACUCGCUUAUGUUAUUUUACCUACGCUUAGGAUGUUGAAGAUAUGCGCGACACG